rnacentral:rRNA from 1 species
AUGAACGCUGGCGGCGUGCCUCAUACAUGCCAGUCGAGCGAACAGACGAGGAGCUUGCUCCUCUGACGUUAGCGGCGGACGGGUGAGUAACACGUGGAUAACCUACCUAUAAGACUGGGAUAACUUCGGGAAACCGGAGCUAAUACCGGAUAAUAUAUUGAACCGCAUGGUUCAAUAGUGAAAGACGGUUUUGCUGUCACUUAUAGAUGGAUCCGCGCUGCAUUAGCUAGUUGGUAAGGUAACGGCUUACCAAGGCGACGAUGCGUAGCCGACCUGAGAGGGUGAUCGGCCACACUGGAACUGAGACACGGUCCAGACUCCUACGGGAGGCAGCAGUAGGGAAUCUUCCGCAAUGGGCGAAAGCCUGACGGAGCAACGCCGCGUGAGUGAUGAAGGUCUUCGGAUCGUAAAACUCUGUUAUUAGGGAAGAACAAAUGUGUAAGUAACUAUGCACGUCUUGACGGUACCUAAUCAGAAAGCCACGGCUAACUACGUG